rnacentral:rRNA from 1 species
AUUGAACGCUGGCGGCAUGCCCUACACAUGCAAGUCGAACGGCAGCACGGGGGCAACCCUGGUGGCGAGUGGCGAACGGGUGAGUAACACAUCGGAACGUACCCGGUGGUGGGGGAUAGCCCGGCGAAAGCCGGAUUAAUACCGCAUACGACCUACGGGUGAAAGCGGGGGAUCGUAAGACCUCGCGCUAUCGGGAGCGGCCGAUGUC